GAAAUUUGUACCUACAGAGACAAAAGUUGAAUUUAUCAACAAAUUAUCUGAAGCACAGCUUCCUGUAAUUGAAGUUACAAGUUUUGUAUCUCCAAAAUGGAUUCCACAGAUGGCUGACAAUUCUGUAGUACUGGAGUCAAUCAAGAGGCAGAGGGGAAUAGUAUAUACAGCUUUAACACCAAAUCUAAAGGGAUUCAAAGAUGCAGUUUUAAGUGGUGUCAAUGCAGUUGCAAUAUUUGGAGCAGCAUCAGAGACAUUCAGCAAG